AUACGGAGGGUGCAAGCGUUAUUCGGAAUCACUGGGCGUAAAGGACGCGUAGGCGGGUUGGCAAGUCAGAUGUGAAAUCCUACAGCUUAACUGUAGAACUGCAUUUGAAACUGCUAACCUAAAGUAUGGGAGGGGGAGAUGGAAUUAGUGGUGUAGGGGUAAAAUCCGUAGAUAUCACUAGGAAUACCGAAAGCGAAGGCGAUCUCCUGGAACAUAACUGACGCUAAGGCGUGAAAGCGUGGGGAGCAAACAGGAUUAGAAACCCCAGUAGUCC
rnacentral:rRNA from 1 species